UACGGGGGGUGCGAGCGUUGUCCGGAAUCACUGGGCGUAAAGGGCGCGUAGGUGGCCUGAUAAGGGUGUGGUGAAAGUCCGGGGCUCAACCCCGGAUCUGCCGUGCCGACUGUUAGGCUAGAGUACUGUAGGGGCAGGCGGAAUUCCGGGUGUAGCGGUGGAAUGCGUAGAGAUCGGGUGGAACACCAGCGGCGAAGGCGGCAUCCUGGCCCUGUACUGACGCUGAGGCGCGAUAGCGUGGGGAGCAAACGGG
rnacentral:rRNA from 1 species